rnacentral:rRNA from 1 species
GACGAACGCUGGCGGCGUGCUUAACACAUGCAAGUCGAACGGUGAAGCGCCUUCCUUUUUGGUGGGUGUGGAUGAGUGGCGAACGGGUGAGUAACACGUGAGUAACCUGCCCCCUUCUUCUGGAUAACCGCAUGAAAGUGUGGCUAAUACGGGAUAUUCUGGGUCUGUCGCAUGAUGGGUCUGGGAAAGAUAUUGUUUCGGUGGGGGAUGGGCUCGCGGCCUAUCAGCUUGUUGGUGGGGUGAUGGCCUACCAAGGCGGUGACGGGUAGCCGGCCUGGGAGGGUGGACGGUCACACUGGGACUGAGACACGGCCCAGACUCCUACGGGAGGCAGCAGUGGGGAAUAGGGCACAAUGGGCGAAAGCCUGAUGCAGCGACGCCGCGUGAGGGAUGGAGGCCUUCGGGUUGUGAACCUCUUUCGCCAGUGAAGCAGGCCUGCCUCGUUUGUGGGUGGGUUGACGGUAGCUGGAUAAGAAGCGCCGGCUAACUACGUG